rnacentral:rRNA from 1 species
UACGUAGGGGGCGAGCGUUGUCCGGAUUUACUGGGCGUAAAGCGCGUGUAGGCGGGCGAUUAAGUCGGGUGUGAAAGCCCGGGGCUCAACCCCGGGAUGCCGCCCGAGACUGGUCUCCUUGAGGACGGAAGAGGGGAGUGGAAUUCCUGGUGUAGCGGUGAAAUGCGUAGAGAUCAGGAGGAACACCAGUGGCGAAGGCGGGUCUCUGGACAGUUCCUGACACUGAGGCACGAAGGCCAGGGGAGCAAACGGG